rnacentral:rRNA from 1 species
CUUCGGAGCUAGUGGCGCACGGGUGAGUAACGCGUGGGAACGUACCCUUCAGUUCGGAAUAACAGCGGGAAACUGCUGCUAAUACCGGAUAUUCUCGAGAGAGGAAAGAUUUAUCGCUGAAGGAUCGGCCCGCGUGAGAUUAGGUAGUUGGUGGGGUAAUGGCCUACCAAGCCUACGAUCUCUAGCUGGUCUGAGAGGAUGAUCAGCCACACUGGGACUGAGACACGGCCCAGACUCC